CGCGGCGUGUCCGGAGGGCUUUUUCCCCCCCUCUCACGCCUUCUUUUCUCUCUACUAUCUCUCUCCCUAUCGUGCACCUGCGAAGCGGCGUCCGCGCCCUCGUUUUCGAAAAGUCGAACGCCUCGUAGUGAUAUGUGUGUGAGCGUUAAGAGCGUCUCUGCGGAGACGUGAGAAAUCGAACACAACUUUCAACAACGGAUCUCUUGGCUUUCGCAUCGAUGAAGAACGCCGCGAAAGCGCGAAACGUAAUGUGAAUUGCAGAAUUCAGUGAAUCAUCGAAUCUUUGAACGCAUCUUGCGCUCCUCGGCAUUCCGAGGAGCAUGCCUGUUUGAGUGUCGUGAAGUCUCUCGAAAGGACGUGCCGUCCCUUCGGAUUUUGGACGCAUGCCGCCGGAAAGGGCUCGUCUUCAAACCCAUCUCGCCCGGAGCCGCGCCCCGCCUCUCUCAGACGUGAUAAGCUUGCGUCGUCGGAAGGUGGAGGUUACUCUCCGGACAGAAAUCUCCUCUCUCUCUCUCUUUUGACCUCAAAUCAGGCAGGACUACCCGCUGAACUUAAGCAUAUCAUA
rnacentral:rRNA from 1 species